AACGUAGGAAGCGAGCGUUAUCCGGAGUUACUGGGCGUAAAGCGCGCGCAGGCGGCUCUUUAAGUAGUGCCUGAAAGCGCCCGGCUAAACCGGGCGAGGCGGCAGUAGACUGGAGAGCUAGAGGGCAGUAGAGGGGUGUGGAAUUCCGGGUGUAGCGGUGAAAUGUGCAGAGAUCCGGAGGAACACCAGAGGUGAAAACGGCGCCCUGGGGUGCACCUGACGCUGAGGCGCGAAAGCUUGGGGAGCAAACGGG
rnacentral:rRNA from 1 species